GACGAACGCUGGCGGCGUGCUUAACACAUGCAAGUCGAACGGAAAGGCCCUGCUUUUGUGGGGUGCUCGAGUGGCGAACGGGUGAGUAACACGUGAGUAACCUGCCCUUGACUUUGGGAUAACUUCAGGAAACUGGGGCUAAUACCGGAUAGGAGCUCCUGCUGCAUGGUGGGGGUUGGAAAGUUUCGGCGGUUGGGGAUGGACUCGCGGCUUAUCAGCUUGUUGGUGGGGUAGUGGCUUACCAAGGCUUUGACGGGUAGCCGGCCUGAGAGGGUGACCGGCCACAUGGGGACUGGGAUACGGCCCAGACUCCUACGGGGGGCAGCAGGGGGGAAUAUUGCAAAAGGGGCGGAGGCCUGAGCCAGCAACGCCGGGGGGGGGAUGGCGGCCUUCGGGUGGUAAACCGCUUUCGCCUGGGACGAAGGGGGGGUGACGGUAAUGGGAAAAGAAGCACCGGCUAACUACGU
rnacentral:rRNA from 1 species